UCUUUUUUCCUGUCUUGCAUACAGGGUCGUCAUUGCCAUCUUCCUAAAACCCCUCCUCAUUUAGAAUAAAUCCAGACUCCUUGCGAUGGUCCACAAGGCCCUGCACACCGUGGCGUGAGCGAGGAGCAAAACCCGCCGUGUUGAUUUAUUUUAAUUAUGGCAUAGUGAGCCCUGGGUUACUUUGAGUCACUUUUUAGGUCUUGGUACAUCUGUACUAGCCUGUGCUGGUGAUUUUAUCUUGCUUGAUCCUGAUAAGGCUAGAAACUUAGCAGUGAUUCUUGACCAGGAGAGGGAAGUUCUCUGAAUCUGCUUUGAUCACCAGUGUCCCGGUCGGGGAGGGAAAGAUGACCCCUUCCAGGACGAGGCGGGACUGCUUGUGUCUGACUAGCUACCUGACACAGUUGGAGAGGACAACUGCCCAAUCAGAGCAGAUGUUGGCCAAAAACCAAGCAUGUGGGCCCUGGUGCCUGCUGGUUGAGUACCAGGCCCACUCAUGUUCUGGACAUUCAGCCUUGUCUGCCUCCGUUUGGUUCCUCAAACUGAGAAACUGAUUGCCUUUGAGCAUUUCACCAGCUGCCCCUUCUACCGGGCAUUCUCACCCUCCAGCUUCUGGGCAGGCUUAAAUCUCCUUGUCCCUUAGGCUCCAACCCCCAGUUUAAAAGGCCUCCAGUGGCCCUCCAUCUAGAGUGCUCCCCACCUGUGAUGACCUGCCUGACUGUCUCAUUCAUCCCUGCUAGUAGAUGCCUGUCCCUCUCCGACAGCUUGAAGGCUGCAGAAGAGGGCGUUCAGCCAGUGGAUGUAUCCCAGGGCCUGGAACAGUGUCUGGCAGAGAGCAGGCCCUCGACAAUCAUGGCUGGACGAUGAGCCAAUUGGUGGCACUUCCCAGGAGUGGAGCCACGUGCUUGGCGGGGGCCUGGCCUGGGAGGAGAUGCUCGCAGCUGCGGUGCCCAGGGUGUGGACAGCAUUUCCUGCCUGAUUCUGAGAAGUGGAAGCAUGCACCUUCCAGAAUGGUCCUGCUGCUCACUGGUCCUGCUGCCAGAGGCAGAAUUGCUGGGAGGAGCCCCUUGGAGGGGCCAGGGCACCUCCAAGAGACCAGAAGGAGAGAGGCUUCUGGGGGAGACGAGUGGGGGGCACACAAGAAGCACUGAACAGGGAUGGUUUCCUGGGAGUUUGGGGAGUUCUGAGAGCAGCAUGCAAUAAAUGAAUUGAAUCUUUGGGAAAACGAGGCUAAAGAGGCCCAGGAGUGCAGAGGAAGGUCCAGAUCGUUUCAAACAGAAGUGAAAACAGCACUAAAUUCAGGCUAAGACAGCUCUGGUGCCUGUUCCAGUCAUUCUGAGAGGGGGUAUUCAUAGUGCUGCCCCCAACCCCCCUCCAGUGUUUCCUGGUUCCUGCUGGAGUGUCUGAAGGGGCCGGUGUGUCCCCCAGAAGUGCCAAAACAUGAGGGAUGGAUGGGCUCGUGGAUGGGGUGCGGCUGGUUACACAGGCCCAGCCUGUGAGCGAGAAGCUUCCAGACUGCUCAGAGCUUCUCUGAGACACGCUCCGUCCCUCCACAAAUAUUAUUUCUGAGCAGGAAGGCCUUUGGCAAGCACCGAUCUGCAACACAUGUUCUGUUGCAGGGAGAGUUGGAGGCUUUAGUCUGGGGGCACUGAACUCCAAACCUGUAGUAAAGUCGGAAACAGCCCCCUGUCGUGGAAGGCACGUGCAGACUCUUGAGGAUUGACUUCCUACUUGGCAUCAGCCCUGGCUGAACUCGUGAAGGGACAACGGUCACCCCAGGGAAGCCCUUCUUCCUCUGCCCUCCCCUUUCCUUUCCCUGCCCCGUCCCACCUUCUCCCCUCUCCCACAGCCCCCACUUUUCUGCACAUUCGUAUUUCUAUCCAUCUUCAAAAAGGAUCUGAAGCCUGGCCUGACUCAGGUUUAAGUGACUGAUAACAGCUUAUCUCCAUGAGUUUGGAAUAUGGGCCACAGCUUUCAGCUAAGGGAGGGAAGUGUGGGUGGUAUUUUAUUUUAUAUUGUGGGUGGUAUUUUAAUCAGACUCUGACGCUGAAGCCCUGAUCCUUUCAAAGAUGAGACGGUGAAGCGGAUGGAGUUGGCUGCUCUCUCUGUUGGUCCCACUGUCAUAUGACCAACAAUCAAGAAGAGAAUUAGUGAUUCUUCAGUCUUAGGUUCCAAGAUAAGGAUCGUUUGAUCAGCCUGGGGGACCCCAGGGUCUGCCCUGUCACAACAUACCUUGGUCAUUUGAAAAGGAUGAUCCAAGAACCAGACUUUGAGAAAAAACGACCUAGUUCUGCAUUUGACUGGAGGGGAUCCAGCAUGGGGGUGAUGGUGGGCAGAGAAUGUCAGCUGCCAUGUUAGCAAACAAAGGAUGUUGUGGCCAUCAAGCCAUCAGCCACUGCAGCUGCCCCCCACUGACCCUCUGCCCUGCACCCUGAGGGGAUUUAGGAUGCAGAAAAAUAAGAUAGGUCUACAUCUAAGGGAUCAUUUCAAUGAGUUUAAACUUUUGCAUUUUCCCAUGCAGAGAAAAGUGUGAAAUUUAUUACGUGAGGUGGUCAAUUUCCUUUAAUCUUUUGGUAGUCCAACUACCUGAUUUUAUUUUUUUGCUAAAUCUCCAAUAUAUCCUGGCUCCUCCCUUACCUCUUUGUGCUUUAUUUCACUGAAUAAAACACGGCUCUCCAUUUUCAGGUUGUGCAUUUUUCUUCAGCUGACAGUUCCCUCCUGCCCCUUGUUUCAGUGCCAGGGCAGGUCCCGGGGUGGGUCACAACAGUAGCUGCUUCAGCCAAACCCCCAGCACCUGCCACUCAGCGAUUCUUCAGGGUUUCAAAUCAUGGAUGUCUUUUAUUUUAAAGGGCUAUCCAAGGAGAAAGUAAAGCACAAACGUCUGCCAGCCAGCCUGCAGGGGACAAGCCCAGGUCCAAGCUGGUCCCUGCGGAGUCCACCCAUGGGACACAGAAAGGACCAAAUUCUCUCCCCUGACAUCGAGGGGCUCUGCACACCUGCCCCCUGGGACUCCUGCCCACCACCCGCCCAGAUCUAAAGUGACUUUGAUCAGCCAGAUUCCUCCACAAGCCCCCAGCUUCUUCUCAAGAGUUUUGAGCUUCUCUGGCUGGACAAGAAUUUCCUUCUCAGGCAGGUCCCACAUAAAAACCAAAGCUCCCAUAGCCAGGUCCUGUUUGAGACGGGAACUCUUUCUUAGUCCAGAGGGAGAGAGUCAGGGCUGGAAAAUAGACACUGCCUUCCACAAGUUCAUAUCAAGUAGCCAGAAGCGGCAUUAACUGAUUAUUUGAAUAUAAAGCCCCAAUCUUUUCAUGGCUCUCUGCAGGAAAACUGGCCCGGAGGAAGGGAGAAGGGACCCCCACCAUGAGACACCAGUGUGCUGGGCAGGAGGUUACUGUUGACCUCUCCUCAUGACCUGCAUGGCGUUAGGAGAGCAGGGAAUCCUUCUCUCUUGCCUUCCUCACCCCGUCCUUUCUUCUUUGUAGUUUUAUGCCUUCUUCUAGUGGGAAAUCCACACGUCUGCCAACAAGAGGUCUGGGUGCGUAUGAGAAUGGCUCCCACAUCACCUGCAAGUUUUUGCACUUAAUUCCCCAACGUGUUUUCGAGAGAAGUGGCAUUAUCCUCAGCCUCAGGAUUAGGAGACUGAGGCUUGGGACAGUUCACCAUCAGCAUGUCCAAGGUCACCAGGGUGGUUGGCAGGAAGGGGUGGAAUUUGAGCCCGAACUUGCGAACUGCAAUGCUUCUCUUCUCCCGAGGGGAUCGCAGCCCAGCGGCAGGUCCGUAAGAAUAAAAUAUCUCUGCACCACGGCGACUGCCUCCUUUGCCGAAAAGAUGGAUGACACACUCAUUGCAUCUUUGCAGGCUCAGGAGGCUGUUUAGGAAGUUAACCAAGGAGGGGAGGGGGAACAGAGAAGAACCAAAACACCCUGAGGAAUGAGCAGUGAGGGGCCAGAGAAUCUCUCUGGGGCACAGAGUAGGUGCUC
ensembl:lncRNA